rnacentral:rRNA from 1 species
UGCCAGCCGCCGCGGUAAUACGGAGGGCGCAAGCGUUACUCGGAAUCACUGGGCGUAAAGAGCGUGUAGGCGGAUAAAUAAGUUUGAAGUGAAAUCCUGUGGCUCAACCAUAGAACUGCUUUGAAAACUGUUUAUCUAGAAUAUGGGAGAGGUAGAUGGAAUUUCUGGUGUAGGGGUAAAAUCCGUAGAGAUCAGAAGGAAUACCGAUUGCGAAGGCGAUCUACUGGAACAUUAUUGACGCUGAGACGCGAAAGCGUGGGGAGCAAACAGGAUUAGAUA